GUUGUCAAUCAAUUCCGUGCGUGACCAUAUACGGUAAAUAGGGUUGAUGAUCUCACUGGCGUCUAGUAAGGCGGUGUUUAAAUGGCCAAAGAGGCGGAGUAUAAUUUGAAUAUUCUAGCGCGAUUGGCUCAUGACACUUGUCAAUCUGGCCGUAGAAGGCAGUGAAAGGUGUGAGCUAUUUUUAGAGAGCUAUAUAGCAGCGGCAGCGCUCUGGCGUCGCUCAUACUGCCGGAGAGAACGAAACAAACAGAAGUAGAAGUUGCAGUUUGUAACGUGAAGCAAUUCUACGCUUGUAUGAAGUCAUAUCAGUUGGAAAUCACACAUUACGGUCUCCCUGCCAGAGAGAAUUAGCCAGAGUGGGGGUUGAAUGGAGGGGUGGAGGCUGCUCUAUCCAUGCAGCAGGUCAGAUGCCGGGGGACAAGAUUGAGUCCUGCCUCUUCCUCUUUGGCCAGAGAGCUCUACCGAGGCACAAAGGAUGCUGGAAAGAAGAAGCAGAUCAAACCCCAGUUGGCAGUGCAGCGGUCGCCGACGUGGCAGAGUGCGGGAAGGGGAAUCAGAGGAGAAGUAAGAGGUUGCAGCAUGAGAUCAUAGGAGUCACACUGAGGUAGGAAUGAAAUUAUAUCACUAGUGGGAAUUGUCCCAAUUAGGUUGGACUGGAGCGCUGCCACUGAGAUGAAAACGUCCACUUGCAUUAGACUGGCCCUCUUGUAGACGAGCCGAGAUUCCCCUUCACUUGGCCUGUGUUGUUCUGCCUCAUUCAGCCUCACUUCUCUUUCUUGUCUAGGCGCAUGCACUGAAAUGACCCUGACCUCUAACACCUUUGCUCUUGCAUGAGAGAACACCUUUUUGUGGCUUUGGAUGGAAGAAGCGAGUGUAGGAGAAGAGAAAUGAAGAGCAUGGUGCCGUCCUUCACCAUUAUUAUCGGGUUUUUGGAAGGGGCUCUGCAAUGGCACAAAAAAAGGUCCUCUUUGAAAAGAAGGUUUUCAGAUUCGGACCCCUUGAGAACAGAAUGAUUAAUUUAGCACAAGGAAUAAUACUUUGGAUGAUAAAGGGAAUACAUUUAUCUUUUUGCUUUCAUCCUGACUGUGUGCGGGAGAGCCCAGGAAACCUUGAGGGAAAUUGAACCGUACAGAUUCAGUCUGGAAUUCUUUCAAAUGGUUCCAAAGCCAUGAGAGUGCGCUGGAUCAUCUCUGGUUUAGCAUGUAUGGAGUGAGGGGGAUUCAGUGCAGCUCUAUUGAUGUGGCACACUGGGCUGUAAUCUCAUUAGUAUGCUAUAAGGCUGACCCGGCAGUGCUCGCCAUGCUCACGGCAUUAUGGGGGAGAGGAGAGUGGGCCACACAACCCGGCAUCACAUCCAUCCAUUUGACACAUUUAGAACUCCCUCACACUGUUCCCUCAAACACUCUUCUUCUUUUCCUUUUAUAUCAGGCCCUUAAUCACAUGUUCAGAUGGUUAGACUGCUCAUCUAGUAGCUUUUUUUUGGUAUUUGUUCUUUUUUGCAUCUAAUCUCACUUUUAUCUC